UACGUAGGGUGCGAGCGUUAAUCGGAAUUACUGGGCGUAAAGCGUGCGCAGGCGGUUUUGUAAGCCAGAUGUGAAAUCCCCGGGCUCAACCUGGGAAUGGCAUUUGGGACUGCAAGGCUGGAGUACGGCAGAGGAGACUGGAAUUCCUGGUGUAGCAGUGAAAUGCGUAGAGAUCAGGAGGAACACCGAUGGCGAAGGCAGGUCUCUGGGCCGAUACUGACGCUGAGGAGCGAAAGCGUGGGGAGCGAACAGG
rnacentral:rRNA from 1 species